UCGCGAGAUGUGCUACCUUGUUGGAAAAUGUCACCAGAGUGCGAAAAGACAGCAGACGCUUUCCGUGUCCACUAUCAUAGAACGCAACCAGAAGAAAAUACCAUUAUAUGAAUGUAUACGGAUUGUCAGAGUGUGGGGAGCAUGGCUGGACACUCUCGUUUUUAAGAUUUCAUAUAACCUUUAUUUAAGAUAUUGGCGAAAGCAUUCUCGGCGACCUCGUCAUUCGUGGUAGCACAUCUCGAUGGGUAGCACUAUUCGACAUAACACCCGGAAGUAGCUAAAGUAGGUGACAGCGGCUGGGUUUCAAUCUUUUCCGGGGGACAUGUUGCUUGCAAAUGAAAUAUGAAGAUCUUCGUAUGCAGUCCUUGUGAGUGUCAGUAGUAGCAGAUGCUUCUUUGACAGAGUCCGUCUGACCUGCAGCUGAGCCCACCCCCCCCUUCGCCUACUUCGCCAUGCCUCUAGUGGUGGACGCUGUGUGGGCGAUUUGGAGCAUUGGCGCUGGCGUCUACGACUACUUCCACACCAGUGCCAUGGAGGAGAGGAUCCACACGCUGGAAAACGUCCUCUCCAUCCACCAGUUUGUGAUCGCCGGUCUGUCUGCAGGCCUCAUCCUCCUCAUGACCUACAUACUGUGGAGAAAACACUGAAAAUCCCCCACGGACCAGGCCCAAGCACCGACUUGAUGUUGCUUUGUCGCUGGACAUCCCACAUUGUCACGGGCAGUUUCCAUCCUCAUAUCAGCCGGGGGGGGGGGAGAGUUUGAAUUAUGUUGACUCCUCACACUUCAAAGAUGUCCCAGAUGAAGUACGGAGCACUGAUGGGCAACUUAACUCGGCGUGGACUCCUCCCAACAUGCAGUCUCCAUCCGGUUCUCUUGGGAUAGCGGGUGCUUGGCCUGUUUAACUAUCUGUCUGUGUUUUGUAUGUUUAUCAGUCUGAGUAACACUUUUACAAAACCAUAGCGGCUUCUGAAGGCACCUUUGCACUUUCCCAUUCAUGGCUGAGCUUUAACGACCUCAUCGUCUAAAGAGAACCUCACUUUGUUUAACAUCCGCCCCCUUGUGUGAUGAGGGACGAGAAAGUUUAGUCAUUUUUCUGUCACUACAACUUCAACAAGUUAGUAACUUUUGAUUUAUUUUAGAAACUAUGUAAAACUAUGGUUGUUAACUUUUUUUUUUUCCUGUGAUCUAAACACAACAACAUAAUGGCCUCAAGUCUGAUCCAUGGUUUUUCUCAUGUUUACAAAUGGCUUGUUCUCUUUGCUUAUAUUAUCUGUUUUUGUUUGUGCAUAUUGAUACCUAUAGGAGCGUUUACUCAGAGUUAAUGAGGUAAUUAUCAUUCCGUCCUAACAUUGCAUCAUCAUCAAAUCGACUUUAUUGCUCUUUCUUGAGAAUAUAAACGGUGGUAUUUGCCUCUUUACGUACUGGCUGAGUUGAACAAUCUUUAAGUUGAGAAACACAUCGGAUAGUGUGCUUGGUACUCGUUAUUGUGUGAAGAAAACUUGCACAUCAGAGGACUUCACUUCAUCGCCCAAAGACAAUGCAUCAGUGUUCAGUCUUGAUCUCUGGUAUUUAAGGGUGAUUAAACACUUGUCACACUCAGUUUGUAGACUUAAUUUAAGAUACAAGGAAGCCUCAGUUUAUUUUGUGGGCUUUCCCACGAUGAGAUCGAAUGAACAUUUUGUAAAAAAAAUUGCAACAUCAAUUCCCCUGAAACAUGUGUCAUGUCAGUUUUAAUGAGUUGUCCUUCGAUGGGGAGCUGUUGGAGGGCCUACAUAAGGACGUCAAAAUGACAACCAAUCCUAGCGCUACUUUUUCUGCUCUCUGGAGACUGUUUUAAAGUCUUUAAAUACUUACAUCAGUACAUUAACUCAAACAUUGGACUGUAUUUUCUGUCAAAUACAGUCUCAGGAUAUUAGCCUGUCAAACAAAAUCUGAUAAUGAAGUGUUGAUCGUGAGUAAGCAGGAUUAAAAAAUGUCUUCCAUGCUCUUUCUGGGGAUCACUUUCCACUAAUUUCUUUAUCUGGCUCUUGAAUUUUAAAGCUCUAAAUGUUAGAAAUGUGUUACCUCUUGAGGAAGUUCACGGGAAGGGAAUUGUCAACAUGUUGCUACCCCCGAUCAAUGUGUGUUCAAGGUUCACUGUGGCCAAACUUGGGGUGAUUACAACAAACAAAAACACUUUGAAGAAGUUGUAAAACUGGGAAUGAAUUCAUCCUUUAAGCGUUUUUUUGUGAGUAUUUUCAUGCUGAGCACAAGGGAUCUGAGAUGGAGCUUACUGUACGCAUUUAAUGUUUUUUAAUGUCUAAUGAAAAACUGUGUGUGUGUUUAAUUUGUCCAAAUUUACGUCAUACAAACACUGUUUACAGUCUGUAAACCGACCGCACACAAGGUUUUCUAACCAAGUGAUAACAGAAAUGAAUGGGUCAGGGGCAGUGCUGUAUCUGCUCUCCCUCUGGGGUUCAUUGUGAGUGUCUACGAUCCUGUAUGUAACUCUGACAUACCACUACCAUGGCUACUGUAAAAGGGAAUAUGUUUGAAUAAUAAAUCAGAGUCUAAGUCUA